rnacentral:tRNA from 1 species
GUCAGGAUGGCGGAGUGGUCAAUCGCAACAGACUGUAAAUCUGUCGCCCUAACGGGCUCCCCAGGUUCGAAUCCUGGUCCUGACA